rnacentral:rRNA from 1 species
CAGUCGCCGCGGUAAUACAGAGGGUGCGAGCGUUAAUCGGAUUUACUGGGCGUAAAGCGUACGUAGGCGGUUUUGUAAGUUAGAGGUGAAAGCCCGGAGCUCAACUCCGGAAUUGCCUUUAAGACUGCAUCACUUGAACGUCGGAGAGGUGAGUGGAAUUCCGAGUGUAGAGGUGAAAUUCGUAGAUAUUCGGAAGAACACCAGUGGCGAAGGCGGCUCACUGGACGACUGUUGACGCUGAGGUACGAAAGCGUGGGGAGCAAACAGGAUUAGAGACCCGCGUAGUCCCUGUCUCUUAUAC